rnacentral:rRNA from 1 species
AACGAACGCUGGCGGCAUGCCUAACACAUGCAAGUCGAGCGCCCGUAGCAAUACGGGAGCGGCGCACGGGUGAGUAACGCGUGGGAACCUGCCCAGAGGUUCGGGACAACCGCGGGAAACUGCGGCUGAUACCGGAUGAUACCUGAGGGUCAAAGAUUUAUCGCCUUUGGAGGGGCCCGCGUCGGAUUAGGUAGUUGGUGGGGUAACGGCCUACCAAGCCUGUGAUCCGUAACUGGUCUGAGAGGAUGACCAGUCACACUGGGACUGAGACACGGCCCAAACUCCUACGGGAGGCAGCAGUGGGGAGUAUUGGACAAUGGGGGCAACCCUGAUCCAGCAAUGCCGCGUGGGUGAUGAAGGCCUUCGGGUUGUAAAGCCCUUUCGGCGGGGACGAUGAUGACGGUACCCGCAGAAGAAGCCCCGGCUAACUUCGUGCCAGCCGCCGCAGUAAAAC